rnacentral:rRNA from 1 species
CAUGCCGUAAACGAUGAUUGCUAGGUGUGGGGGGUCUGACCCCUUCCGUGCCGGAGUUAACACAAUAAGCAAUCCACCUGGGGAGUACGGCCGCAAGGUUGAAACUCAAAGGAAUUGACGGGGGCCCGCACAAGCAGUGGAGUAUGUGGUUUAAUUCGAAGCAACGCGAAGAACCUUACCAGGUCUUGACAUCCUAAGAACCCGGAAGAGAUUCCGGGGUGCCCUUCGGGGAGCUUAGAGACAGGUGG